rnacentral:misc_RNA from 1 species
GUGCUAGGCCACCUCACAGAUGACCAUUUGCUCAAAUUUCUACAGCGAUGUCAGUCAGGAUUGACCUCUAAUGGAAUCAUUAUCUUAAAGGAAAAUGUUGCACAAGAAAGGGAUUUUGAUGAGCUAGACAGCAGCUAUACAAGAACACGGGAAGAGUUGGACAAAGUGAUUUCCCAGUCAGGACUUAAGAUUCUCAAGUGUGAAAAACAGAAAGGCUUCCCCAAAGGAUUGUAUGAUGUGUACAUGUAUGCAUUGCAAUAAAGAAUUUUUACUCUU